rnacentral:rRNA from 1 species
UGGGGAAUUUUGGACAAUGGGCGAAAGCCUGAUCCAGCAAUGCCGCGUGUGUGAAGAAGGCCUUCGGGUUGUAAAGCACUUUUGUCCGGAAAGAAAUCCUUGGCUCUAAUACAGUCGGGGGAUGACGGUACCGGAAGAAUAAGCACCGGCUAACUACGUGCCAGCAGCCGCGGUAAUACGUAGGGUGCAAGCGUUAAUCGGAAUUACUGGGCGUAAAGCGUGCGCAGGCGGUUUGCUAAGACCGAUGUGAAAUCCCCGGGCUCAACCUGGGAACUGCAUUGGUGACUGGCAGGCUAGAGUAUGGCAGAGGGGGGUAGAAUUCCACGUGUAGCAGUGAAAUGCGUAGAGAUGUGGAGGAAUACCGAUGGCGAAGGCAGCCCCCUGGGCCAAUACUGACGCUCAUGCACGAAAGCGUGGGGAGCAAACAGGAUUAGAUACCCUUGUAGUCCACGCCCUAAACGAUGUCAACUAGUUGUUGGGGAUUCAUUUCCUUAGUAACGUAGCUAACGCGUGAAGUUGACCGCCUGGGGAGUACGGUCGCAAGAUUAAAACUCAAAUGAAUUGACGGGGUCAUAGCUGUUUCCU